AGUGAACGCUGGCGGCGUGCUUAACACAUGCAAGUCGAACGAGAACGGGUUAUAACUUGUUAUAACUGUCAGCUAAGUGGCGCACGGGUGAGUAAUGUAUAGGUAAUAUGCCUCUUACUAAGGGAUAACAAAUGGAAACGUUUGCUAAUACCUUAUACUCCUUAUUAACCUAAGUUAAUAAGGGAAAGAUUUAUUGGUAAGAGAUUAGCCUGUAUUGUAUCAGUUAGUUGGUGGGGUAAUGGCUUACCAAGACUAUGACACAUAACUGGUUUGAGAGGAUGAUCAGUCACACUGGAACUGAGACACGGUCCAGACUCCUACGGGAGGCAGCAGUGGGGAAUAUUGCACAAUGGACGAAAGUCUGAUGCAGCAACGCCGCGUGGAGGAUGACACAUUUCGGUGCGUAAACUCCUUUUAUAUGAGAAGAUAAUGACGGUAUUAUAUGAAUAAGCACCGGCUAACUCCGUGCCAGCAGCCGCAGUAACAC
rnacentral:rRNA from 1 species